AGCGCGCCAUAUUUCGUUGUGUCGUCUGAUAGGUCUGGUUAUCACGCACGUAGAUCCACCUACGUGGUUAUAUGCUGUGUGUUUUGCCCCCAAAAAAAAAUGCAUCUUGUGUUUUAGGACAAGAGCAGGCACAGGUGUAGUAAACAUGUCAAGAAAUCAGCAGCAGAUUGUGAGACGUCUUCAAAAAGAAGCAGAAAAGGAGCAAAGCAUAUAUUGGUAUCGCAGCGCUAUUACAUAUCUUGUUGAGAACUUCUUGUCGAAUCUGGAUGCAGCUGCUAAGAGUCUUCAUUCUCUGGGACAUGCCAGCGAGUGCUUCAGCUCCCUUCAGCUAUGUGAGUUUUUUGUUGGACACAAUUCUGAGGUGUUUCUCCACCUUGCAUCACAGCCAGGUAAUGAUGAAACCCCAAACCUCAGUGAUCUCCGUGGUGUGGAGCUAACAAAAGAAGAGAAAAAUUCUAAUGUAUUUUGCAAUUGGUUGAUUCAGCGUCUGUUGCGCUUGCUAGCAUGCCAAGGAUGUGCCCUUCUACAUCCAACAUGUACCUCAGUGUUGACACACAUCCUUCUUACCAUCAAAGUGCGGUCUUUCUAUAUAUUUCUUCGUACAUCUUCCAUGCUGAUUCACUGCUUGGCAGAUAUGGUACAGAUCAGCAAGCAGCUUUAUGCGGCAGGUAACACAGGGAAUUUUCAGCUGACAAAGCUGAAUGUGAACUUAGAAAAUGUCAGACAAAGUCUUCUUGAUCCAGCCAAGAGUCCAGCUGAAAUGCAAGAUUUUGACAACUGCCUCAGUGAGCUCCCCUUUGUGUUAUCAAGUGCAGAGAUCUGUGAAUUGCUUCAGGUCAAUCUAUCGAAACUUAUUCUUACCUUGAUUCCCAGUAUUGGAAUAUUUGAACCAAUGCUCAAGUCCAUUCUGUACAGCACUGCUUGCUGCCAGCUGGAGUUUGGUGAUGUGGAUUUGAAAACAGUUUCUCUUCAAAUGCUUGUGGAACUUAUGGCAGAAUUUGGUUUGCCUGACCUCGACAAUGUCCAAAACUACUUUCUUCGCUGCCUCACGGGGCAGACAAGUUUGCUUGUGUCUGGCUGCAGGGAUAUAAAGAAAGAGGAGAUCACAAUACUUGAAGAGAACACCUCCUCUCUCAUUAACCAGUUGAUCUGCACAGACGGCAGUCUGGCUGCAGUUGCUCAUCACUUCUCAACUGCCAGCCUACAUCAAAUGUUUUGUUCUGUGACCUCUGACCUCCAAGCCCAUGGCUUCAUAAAGGUACUUACAGAGAAGUUCCGCACAUCGCUGGCACAACUGCUGUGUCACAUACUAAAAAGACUCCCAGUGGUUGUGUUGAAGGGUGUAUGCAGUCAGGCCUUUGAACAGCUUUUCCUCACACUGUUUGAUCAUGUAGCAGGGCAGCUGGAGGAUUUACAGUUUGCUGCACCUCUUCUGGUGCAAAUCUUGAAUGUGGAGAAGCAGAUCAAUGCCAAGAAAUGUCUGAUGCUCCCAGAAGUUACAUCAGCUACUCAGAUGAUCCAGACGCAGCAGACACCCUCCUCCAGGCUCAGACGCAAGAGAAAAGAAGUAGCUAUUCAAGAUGGCAGCAAGAAGAUGAGAUCACGAAUGUAUCAUCAGCUGCAGGCAAAAGUUGUAGACAUACUAGACAAAGGUGUGAAUAAGGACAUGUGCAUGACGGCCUUGGCGGCAGGAAGUCUGAUCACAGAUGUUGCUGCUCGACUUUCAGGGGAAAUAUUUCAGGACAAAGAUGUACAAAGAUUUGCAGAUACAGAAGUAUACCUUGACAAGGACUUUGUGCAACGACUGAGUGGAUACUGGCGCAGCAUUUUGCUUACAGGCAUUGUUAGUAGCCUCAGUUCAGCAGCUCAGGAUACAGCUGUGCUUCUAAUAGUCCGCUCAGCUGGCUGCCUGCUUUCAAGUAAUGAUUAUGUGCCCAUCACUGCUGAUCUUCUUCAAGAACUUACUUGGAUGGUUAGUCUACCAUGGCUUCUGAAUGACCCCAGCUGGCGAGAUCUUCGACCCAGCCAAGUACAAGAAGUAUCCCGCAUCAGUCAAGAAAUAGCAGAUAACAUCAAUGUGAACACCAUGUGCCAGUGUCUGAAAGUCCUAGCGUCUGCUCCCAAAGAGGCAGCCCCCAUGUGGCGAGUUCAUGUCUUCUCACAGGCUUUGAAUUCUCUACAUGAAGAUGUUAAAACGUCUGCUAUCUCUGAGUUUCCUAAGCUGCUUCUUCAACUAGGACCAAACGCUCAACAUCUGAUCAGUGAUCUCAUACACCCUCUGCUACAGGAUCCCUCCAAUGCUGUUCUUCGGGCAUUGGCUAAGGCAGCAGGAAAUUUGGUGUGUGUGGCAGCUGGCACAGUCACUCUCAGAAGGAGUGAACAACAAGAAAGUACCCUCCCAGCUAUGGAGCUUUCUUUGCUGACUUGCUCAAAAUGUUUGGCAAGAGAAGAUGAAACCCAUGAGUUGAAGCAAGUGGACACCAGGCUGUUUCUACCAUUCCUAAAUUUGUUGAAGACAGCAAAUUCAGAUGUACGCAAAGAUACUGUAUGCAGCUUGAAGCAGAUGUUUAUGCACAUGCCAGUGCGAUCGCAGAGUCUGUCUACAGUCAGUCUGCUAACUGCUGGUCUCUCCACUGUGGAAGAUAUGGAUAUGGAUGUUCGCCUCCAAUUCUUAACAGUGAUACCUGUCAUUCUGGGUGGAAGGACAUCAACACCAGACUCAGAAAACAUCACCUCUGAUACUGACAAGAUAAUAGUGGAGCACCUGAAGACUGCCUGUACAAGGGCUACCAUUUCAGCAAACAGUGGCUUGCACCAGACUAUUCUGAUCACUAUUGGUCAGCUAGCAAGAUAUGCAGAUGGAGAACUACUUUUAGCUGCACUCAUCAUUCUACUUGAGAACAGAUUGUCUUGCAUUCCACUGGUAGCAGAUAUUGCUUUUCAAGAGCUCCAAGCCACAGCAAGUCACAAAAAGGUGGCCCCAUAUCAGCUUUUUAUCAAGUACCGGGCACCUGUAUGUAAGUUUCUGGUUGAAACUAUGCUGGAUGCCCAGUCAGUAUCUGGACAAGGAAAUGCUGAAAAAGUACUUAAAACAGUGUCCAACACAUUUGGUUUCUCUGACAUCAAGGCAUUCAUAGAGCGAUGUGUAAAGUUUCUUCUGCCUCACCUGGUCAGCAAAGCGUCUCCUGAAGCCUCAUCCCUUAUCCGUCUCUUGGCCAAUUUGCUGUCUAUCACUCAUCGACACAAAUUGAUUAUGAACAAUAUCAAGUACAUUUUCUCACAUCUAGUGCGCUUCUGUCCAAAAGUGGAGUUGGAAAAGGCUCUGGAUUAUUUGCAGAGAGAGACAGGCUUUGAGCUGGGAAGCCUCCUGCGUUUGGACUUUCAACGUGUGCAUAAUGAACUGCUAUUAUACCUGAGUACUAGUUAUUCACAAGUUUUCAAUGGACUUCAGAUGCUUUCUCUCAAUGAUGAGCACUACAGUGGGCCCAAGGAAAUCACCAGUGCUGAAGAAAUGGCCGCCUACUUGGAACCUAGGCUUCUUGGAGUUCUGGCAUUCUUUGACUCUCAGCUCAUGAAUAUCAACACUGCCGCAGCUGACAAAAAACUGGCAUUAGAAAGCUUAAUAUCUAUCAUUCAGCUCAUGGGCUCAAAACACAUUACCUCCAUCAGACACAAGGUUGUCAACACCCUUAGACUAGGGCUCCAGUUCAAAGACACAUCAUUUGUUGAGAUUUCCUGCAGGGCCUGGAACUGCUUUGUUCGAAGCCUUGAACUGCCUAUACUUGGUCAGAUGUUGUCCCAGAUUUUGGCAACAUUGCUGCCAUUGCUGCUACAGAUUCCACAACAGGUCGCAGAAAUCAUCAACUACAUGAUUGUCGAAAAUCGGGCUGAGCUUCAUGAUCAUUUUCAUGAGGUCUACUUCUUGCCGGACUUGCCCGAGUUAGCGGAUGCCACGUCUGUUCUAAAAAUGUAUACAGACAGCCCCUCAAGUCAAACAGAUCUGAAAACUCGGCUUGUGCACUGCAUCAGUGGAGCUAGUCAUGAGAGUGUGGAUGUUCGCAAUCACGCUUUGAUGAAACUGCGAAAACUGCUUCGUGAAAAUCAAGAUUCUUUGUUUGAUCUGAUUCUGGGCAAGGAGUCAGCAGAUCCUGUAGUGACAAGACUUGUUUCUGUGCUUUUACAGGGCUGUCGAGAAUCAGCUACCAAAAACCAUGACCUGUAUGGUCAGUGUCUUGGGGAACUUGGUGCUUUGGAUCCUGGGAGACUCACGCUGAUGAGCAACAAUCCCUUGGAGCAACAUGCAAAGUUUCAAGCUAGUGUUGAUGAUGAAAACUUUGCUGUGGGGCUCGUCAACAAAAUAAUCAAAGCUUUCCUCGCUGCUACUGAACCCAAAAUUCAGGAUUGUUCGGCAUUUGCCCUGCAAGAGCUGCUGCAGAUAUACAAGAUUGUUGAUCGUUUACAAGGAGAGAAAGACUCCCGAGGAGCAAAGCUCUGGAAACGUUUUCCAGAACAGCUACAAGAAAUUCUGAUUCCUCUACUUACUUCCAGGUACAAGCUAAGCACGGAUAUGGAUUGGAGCAAUCUUCCAAAGCCAAUAUAUGGCAGCCGCAAAGGCAACACCUACAAAGACUGGGUCAGCAACUGGACAGGAUAUCUGGUCUCAAAGGUAAAGGAGAAGCAAGCUCGCCAGGUGUUUGAAGCAUGCAGUGCUGCUCAGCGCAAUGACCUGCAGGUAGCUCUCUAUCUGCUUCCUUACGAGGUCGUACAGGUAUUGCUGGAUGGAACAGAACAAGAUCAUCUAGAGAUCUACAAUGAAAUGAUGGAGGUGGUAAACCAGGCCAGGCAACCAGACACACGGCAGAGCACGGCUCUUGACCUGCGACAUCUGAGUGCUCAGACAACAUUCUCAGUGAUCGACUACCUCACCUGGUGGCGAACUCAGCGUGUGCUGUUGCUUGCAGCCAGAAGUUCUGUUCCUAAAGGUGUUGUGCCAUAUUCUGGGGAUGAGCCUUACAAGGCUGUUAACAAGUUUCUCUGUCGCAUCCCUCAAGACACUCUUGCCCAGGCCAGCUUUAACUGCAAAGCGUACACUCGUGCUCUUAUGUAUUUUGAGCAGUUUAUCACAGAUACAAAACAGGACCUGCAAGAACAUCUGGACUUUCUGCAGAGGCUUUAUGACUGUUUGAACGAGCCAGAUGGUGUAUUGGGAGUUGCAGCCAUCAGACAGUCACAACCUACACUUAUGCAGGAGAUUCUGGCCCAUGAAAGUCUUGGUCAGCAGCAAGAUGCACAGGCCUGCUAUGAGCGAGCUUUGCAAAUCGCACCCAGUGAACUUUGGCCUCAUCAGGGAUUGGUCCGCAGCCUGAUGGAAAUGGGGCAGCUGAACAAAGCCCUUCUUCACACUAGUGGUGUCCUUACCAAAAACCCACGAUGGUUGCACCAGCUAAAUCAGUACAGAGUGGAAGCAGCAUGGAAAAUGUGCAACUGGGACACCCUGAACACCAUGAUGAAAUAUGAGAACCCAGGAAAUAACAUAUGGCCUUUGUGUAUUGGUCGUAUCUUGAUGGCUACAAAGGACAGGAAGGAAGAAGAGUACCAGAAGCACCUGCAUCUAGCACGCCAAGAGCAGAUGGGUCCCUUAUCUGCUGCCAGCAUGGAAAUGGGAUCGUACCACAGAGGGUACGAGUACAUCCUCAGGCUGCAUAUGUUGAGUGAACUAGAGGACUACUUCCAUGUCUGCCAUAAUUUUUCGGCAUCAUCCAGUGACUCCAGUGAGCCCUUGGUGCAGUCAUCACAAGAGGAGUUACUGAGGCAGUGGAACUGUCGCCUUCAAAUGGUUCAGUCAUCCUUUCGCACUCAGGAGCCAAUUUUAACUCUAAGAAGGACAUUACUUUGCUUGGAUCAAAAUAAUCCAGACAUAGCUGUGGACAAAACCAUAGGGCGAUGGUGGUUGUGGAGUGCCAAGGUUGCUAGAAAAGCUGGGUACUUACAGACAGCUUAUGGGUGCCUUCUUCAAGCAAGUGCUUUUGACAUGCCAGAAUUCUUUGUGGAAAAGGCCAAAUGGCUCUGGGAGAAGGGAGAGAAUGACACAGCUUUGUCGUGCUUGGAGAAGGGAAUAGCUCAGCAUUUCCCAUCCCCAGCUCAAUUCCAGCAAGGACCUCACUCUGGCGACCAGUCCAAGAGACAGGUUUAUGGGCAGGCACUGCUGCUUUAUGGUCGGUACAGUGAGGAGACGUCCAGUAUGGAAAGCAAUGCCAUCCUGAAGCGUUAUCGUGAUGUACUGGACAUCUGUCAUGACUGGGAAGAUGGCCACUUCUACCUUGCUCAGUACUAUGACCGCCUAAUGACCAGCAUUAUGCCAGAGAAAGAGAAAUCAGGAGAUCUCAUCACAGCGGUGGUGAAGUAUUUUGGACAAGCACUGCUGUUUGGAAACAAGUUCAUAUACCAGGCUAUGCCCCGUCUUCUGAGCCUGUGGCUGGACUUUGGUGCCACUGUGAUUGAGGCAGAGCACAAGGAGAAGAAAGAGAAGAACGCUGACAAGAACAAACUACAGUUGCAAAAAUUGCAAGUUCAGAAGAAUAUCUUGUCAAAGAUCAAUGCUCUGAUGUGCAGUCUGAUAAAUGAUCUUGCACCCUACCAAUUCUUCACAGCAUUUCCGCAGCUUGUCUCACGCAUAUGUCAUGCACAUCCCGAAGUUUCAAAGAUCUUGCAGGGGCUGAUAGCACAUUUAUUAACCUGCUUUCCACAGCAGGCAAUGUGGAUGAUGAUGUCUGUUUCCAAGUCAUCAUAUACAGUGCGAUCUCAGAGAUGUCAAGAAAUAUUUGCAGCUGUCAAACAAAAGAAACCUGAACUCGAAAAACUGAUUCAGGAUGCAACCAGACUAAGUGAAAGACUUCUAGAGGUGUGUGAGAAAGAUGUUGGUAGGACUACUACUCUUAGUCUGUCUACCAACUUCAAAGCUCUCAAACGCCUCCUGGAUGAACCGAAUUUCAGUGAAAUUAUGUUGCCUCUACAGUCAGCAAUGACGGUAACUUUGCCGACCGUUGCAGGUGGUCAAGCUGGUCAUAAUCCAUUUCCUGAUCAUUUAAUUUAUAUCAAAGGCAUUGAAGACACGAUCGAAAUCCUGCAGUCCCUGGCUCGGCCCAAGAAAAUCACUCUGGUUGGCAGUGAUGGAAGGUUGUAUGCCAUGAUGUGCAAGCCAAAGUGUAUUCACCAAGUGCAGGAAUGGGAAGUUCUCUGUAUUGGCAAGCAUUUCAGGAUGACUUACGCAAAGAUGCCCGUCUCAUGGAGUUCAAUGCCAUUGUGAAUAGGUUCUUGUACCGGGAUGCAGAAUCUAGACGCCGGCAACUUCACAUUCGAACAUAUACAGUCACACCUUUAAAUGAAGAGUGUGGAAUAGUUGAGUGGGUGAACAACACCAGCGGCUUUCGGCAUAUCCUGGUACGGCUGUACAGGGAACAUGGAAUUCACAUGUCUGCUGCUGAACAGCAAAGCAUCAUGCCUGCUA
rnacentral:misc_RNA from 1 species